rnacentral:rRNA from 1 species
GGUGUAGGCGGUCUGUCAAGUCCGGUGUGAAAUCUCCCGGCCUAACUGGGAGGGUGCAUUGGAUACUGAUGGACUAGAGUGCAGCAGAGGGAAGUGGAAUUCCCGGUGUAGUGGUGAAAUGCGUAGAUAUCGGGAAGAACACUAGUGGCGAAGGCGGCUUCCUGGGCUGUAACUGACGCUGAGACCCGAAGGCGUGGGUAGCAAACAGGAUUAGAUACCCUGGUAGUCC